rnacentral:hammerhead_ribozyme from 1 species
AUGCGAAACGGCCUUUCAAGGCCGUCGCCGGACGAUUUCCGGCCUGAUGAGCAUAAGCAA